rnacentral:rRNA from 1 species
UGCCUUCGGGAACGCUGAGACAGGUGCUGCAUGGCUGUCGUCAGCUCGUGUUGUGAAAUGUUGGGUUAAGUCCCGCAACGAGCGCAACCCUUAUCCUUUGUUGCCAGCGAUUCGGUCGGGAACUCAAAGGAGACUGCCGGUGAUAAACCGGAGGAAGGUGGGGAUGACGUCAAGUCAUCAUGGCCCUUACGAGUAGGGCUACACACGUGCUACAAUGGCGCAUACAAAGAGAAGCGACCUCGCGAGAGCAAGCGGACCUCAUAAAGUGCGUCGUAGUCCGGAUCGGAGUCUGCAACUCGACUCCGUGAAGUCGGAAUCGCUAGUAAUCGUGGAUCAGAAUGCCACGGUGAAUACGUUCCCGGGCCUUGUACACACCGCCCGUCACACCAUGGGAGUGGGUUGCAAAAGAAGUAGGUAGCUUAACCUCCGGGAGGGCGCUUACCACUUUGUGAUUCAUGACUGGGGUGAAGUCGUAACAAGGUAGGCGUAGCGAG